AUUGAACGCUGGCGGAAUGCUUUACACAUGCAAGUCGAGCGGCAGCGCGGGGCAACCUGGCGGCGAGCGGCGAACGGGUGAGUAAUGUAUCGGAACGUGUCCUGUCGUGGGGGAUAGCCCGGUGAAAACCGGAUUAAUACCGCAUACGAACGAGAGAUUAAAGUGGGGGACCGCAAGGCCUCACGCGAGAGGAGCGGCCGAUAUCUGAUUAGCUAGUUGGUGGGGUAAAGGCCCACCAAGGCUUCGAUCAGUAGCUGGUCUGAGAGGAUGAUCAGCCACACUGGGACUGAGACACGGCCCAGACUCCUACGGGAGGCAGCAGUGGGGAAUUUUGGACAAUGGGGGCAACCCUGAUCCAGCCAUUCCGCGUGAGUGAAGAAGGCCUUCGGGUUGUAAAGCUCUUUUGUCCGGGAAGAAACGGUUUUGGCUAAUAACCAAGACUACUGACGGUACCGGAAGAAUAAGGACCGGCUAACUACGUGCCAGCCGCCGCCGUAA
rnacentral:rRNA from 1 species